ensembl:lncRNA
CUAUUUCUUUGGGCCGCUCCUGCGGCAUAUGGAGGUUCCCAGGCUAGGGGUCGAAUUGGAGCUGGAGCCACUGGCCUGCGCCAGAGCCACAGCAACGCAGGAUCCGAGCCGCGUCUGCAACCUACACCACAGCUCAGGGCAACGCCGGACCGUUAACCCACUGAGCAAGGGCAGGGAUCGAACCCGCAACCUCAUGGUUCCUAGUCGGAUUCUUUAACCACUGCGCCACGACGGGAACUCCAGCAUUUAAUCUUUAUUCUUAGAGUUUGCAUCUCUCCACUUCCAUUACCCAUUUCUUCUUGCAUGACAAAUCAUUUCAACAUCUGUGUCAUAUCUGAGCCUGGUUCUGAUGUUUGCUUUGUCUCUACAGAGUGUGUUUUUUCCUGCAUUUGGCUUGUCUUAUAGUUUUGUGUUGAAAGCCAGAUUAUGUUUUGUUGGGUAAUAGGAAUUGAGGUAUAUUGGCCUCUAGAGUGAGAUUUUAUGUCAAUUUGCUAGGAGUCAGGCUGUGUUUAAUGUUUGAAGUAGCAAUAGGUGCCAGUAACUUUGCAUUUCUCUGGUUUUCUUGUUUUUUGACUCCCCUCUUGAGUGAUGGCUCCCCACUAAGUGCUCCCCCUCAGAGAGAGUUUGCAGAUUUCACCUCCAACUCUGCAGCUCGCAGCACUUUCUGCAUUUCAGGCUGGACCACACUCAGCCUUAGCAAUAGGAAAUACUUUGAUAGGUAGUAACAAGUUGCCCUUCAAAAACUAUUCGCCAAUUUAUAUUCUCAUCAAUAUAACUUAAAUAAACUUAGUUUUAAAUAGCUUGACAUCCACACUUGCUAGUAUUUGACCUUGAGACUGGGGGACAAACCAUAAGAGAGUAGAUAUAGGAGAAAGUCUUAAAAAUAACUUAUAUUGAAAUGUAAAUGUAUUUUUGUUAUGCAUUCACAUGUCUUGUUAAGUUUUAUUAUAGUGGUGGUAGUUGUCUAUUUUGAUUUCCAAAGGGACUCAUUCAUUUGACCUAAAGAAGGAGAAAGUGGAGUUAGGUGGGUUGUGCUCUAAGUGAAGAAUUCCUCCAGUUAUGCUCCUUCCUAAUAGGUAAUUGACAAGAAAUCGGCAUGAACACUGAUUUUGCUAAAAAAAACUGAUAGGUUUGCAUGUAGAUUGACCUCCACAUACAAAAAUACGUCAGAAUUUUCAUUAAGUGAGGAAUCACAUUCAAGAUUUCUGACCUUGGUUGGACUCCAGGUAGGAGCAUAGUUUAGCAAUUGUAAGCAUGCAGCUGACUUCUACACAGGAAGUAAUUCUCCAUAGUUUCAAAUUCAUAGAUAUGUUCUCAAUUAGGAUUUAUCUCUGUUUCCUUGAUUAUUGUUGAGAAAAUGAGUACAUUUUCCUUAUCAAACCUUCUGUGUGGAAAUAAUGAGUAGAUGUUUGUCUUUUCCCACGUGAAUGUUACUUUUCCAUAUUUUUUUUUCCUGAGAGUGGAAAAUACACAUCAAAAUCCAGAAAAUGCUUUUUCAGUCAGUAGAUGGCAAAAUUCUAGCAAACGAAUAAUUAUUUUUGUUCUAUUGAACACAGCUUUUCAACUACUAUCUCACCCCACUGAAAAUUUUAUCCUAAACAUAAGUAAUCUCUGGUGUAAGGGAGAAUAGAUGAAAGAAAUUUGUUCUUAUAUAUACACUUAUGGUCAAAAUGAAAGAAAAAAACUGAGCCAAAUAAUUUUGAAUAACCAAGUCAUCUCAACUAAGCUUCAUUUACUCCAGAAGUGAAAGAGGUAAAGACUGUUUUCAAAGGGCUACUUAAUUAUUAUUAAGAACCACAGGGUCAGUUGUUCACUCACUUUAGUAUAUAUGUGUACAAACAGCAAAUUAAUUCUAUAUUCUAAGGACUAUCCAAAGGCUCUCCAUCAUUGUAAACAAUAAGUUAUAUAAAGGAAAUGAAAUGUGAAGCAAAGUCGAAGAUCUUGUUUUGUUAAGCUCUGUGUUCAUAAGAUAUCAUCAGCCACAAUGAAAAGUGACUUAAUGUUAUCAUUUAAGGUCAUGAAAAAUGAAAAAAUAAAACACUUCACACUAGAUGUUGAGAUGGGGACAAACUAAGAAGUUAUUUCCACAUUUGUAUGAUAACGUCACUCUAAGCAGCGUUGAAAACUGUACAAUAUUCACAUUUUUUAUUUGUUUGUUUUUAAUAAUUCAGGUUCAACCCCCUCUAACCCUAGCCAUAUAUCUAUUCUGUAGUUUAAUCCAUCACCCAUCUGGAUACUGAUCCAAUUAUUUUAGACAUUCACUAUCUUUUACAAAAACAAUUUCGGGACUUAAGGAGUUGAAGUAAAUAUGCAUUAUUUUUUUUUAAGAGAUCAUGCCACCAAUAAAAGUAAAAUUACCAAAAAUGAAAGCUUACUCUAUGAACAUAAGGCCUUUCACUCCCAAGUCCCUCUGCGUCUGUUUUAACAGAGUUUCUGAGUGGGAGAAUGUACUGAACUCGCCCACUUUACAGCUCACUUUCUACAGCAGAAGCCUAGAAUUAGAGGAAUUUUACCCAUGUGCAGAGAGGCAACAAUAGUUAGAAUAUCUUCUAUAUUCAGUGAUCAGUUAUUACCCUUGUUCUAUUAUCUUUUCUCAAGUCAAAAUAAAGUUUCUCAAAAGACUCUUCUGCUACUAAAUUAUGUGUCAAUAUUUAUCUCAUCAAAAAUUGUGACAACUGUAAUUUAUGUGUCUUUUCUAUUUUCCUUAUUUCAAUAAAAAAUAUUCCAGAGAACAUUCUCAAUUCUAAAAAGAUUUUUAUCAUGAGAGAAAUAAUACCAGGAAUAAUGGUGCCAUUUAGAUGUGUAGUCCUGACAAACACUAACCCUGGGCUUUUGACAAGAGUCUUAUUGAUGAGACAUCCAUUUGAUGAUGGUUUGGGGGCUAAUGUUUAGUUUAUGGAUUGAUAGACUGGAGAUUAACUGUUUUCUUUCUCUUUUCUUUUGUUUUUGUCUUUUUAGGGC